rnacentral:tRNA from 2 species
GCGUUCAUAGCUCAGUUGGUUAGAGCACUACCUUGACAUGGUGGGGGUCGUUGGUUCGAGUCCAAUUGAACGCACCA